CCACGCAGGAGCAUUCCUGCCUUGGGUUCUCACUGACACUCUUCUGCCCACCACACUCAACAUUCUCAAUCCUUCUUUGGCAAUCCUAAACCUAUCUCUUUUUCAAGGUUCAAGUAUUCCUUUGGCUAGCAUUUUUAUUUGCUACAGUGGUCCCAUCCAUGAAGAGAAAGCACUGAUGACUUGUGAUAAUUUACAUGUCAACUUGGCUAGGCUAUGGUGUCUAGUUGUUUGAUCAAACACUAGUCUAGACGUUGCUGGGAAGGUAUUCUGCGGAUGUGAUUAACCUUUAUAAUCAGCUGACUUUAAGUACAGCAGACUACCCUCCAUAAUGUGGAUAAAUCUCAACCAAAGAGUUCAUAGAGCCUAAGAGCAAAAACUAAGGCCUCCCAUGGAAAACGGAAUUUUGCCUCAAGACUGUAACAGAGAAUCUUGUCCGAGUUUCCAGACUGUGGGCCUGUCCCACAGAUUUUGGACUCAAGACUGCAAUAUCAACUCUUCACUGAAUUUCCAACCAGCCAGCUUACCCUGAUUCUAUUUCUCUAGAGACCCUGCCUGAUACAUAACUGAAAUCCAUCCCAUCAAAAGCUAACCACUCCCUCAUCUCUACCUACCCCCCUCAGUUAUCUCUGAUUCCAUUACAAGACUAAGUGAAAAGGAUAAAGGAAACUCCAUGGCCUACUACUUUCAAUUACAUUUUAUGGGGCAGAAGGCUGAGGUACUAGAGCUGUCUUACCAUAGGUUUUUAGAGUGGAAUUUUCUUCCCUCUGAAGGUCUUCCAGCCAAACUGCAAGCACAGUGGAAUCUGCAUUCCAGAGAAGGUCAUUAACCUAGUAGGGAAAAAAGACCUGUCACUGGCCUUUAUGUAUUUACCUCAAAAUCUUUAUGAUAGCUGAAUUCCCUGCUCUCACAAGUCAAAUAAUCCCACACUUGAGUUGAUCCCUAGCUGUAAAUUACUAACCUAUGGAGUUUUUAAACAAAUCUCUGUCAU